rnacentral:rRNA from 1 species
GAUGAACGCUGGCGGCGUGCCUAAUACAUGCAAGUCGAGCGAACGGACGAGAAGCUUGCUUCUCUGAUGUUAGCGGCGGACGGGUGAGUAACACGUGGAUAACCUACCUAUAAGACUGGGAUAACUUCGGGAAACCGGAGCUAAUACCGGAUAAUAUUUUGAACCGCAUGGUUCAAAAGUAAAAGACGGUCUUGCUGUCACUUAUAGAUGGAUCCGCGCUGCAUUAGCUAGUUGGUAAGGUAACGGCUUACCAAGGCAACGAUGCAUAGCCGACCUGAGAGGGGGGUCGGCCACACGAGAAGUGAGCCGCGGUCCAGACUACUACGAGAGGCAGCAGUAGGGAAUCUUCCGCAAUGGGCGAAAGCAUGGCGGAGCAACGCCGCGUGAGUGAUGAAGGUCUUCGGAUCGUAAAACUCUGUUAUUAGGGAAGAACAUAUGUGUAAGGAACUGUGCACAUCUUGACGGUACCUAAUCAGAAAGCAACGGCUAACUACGUG